UGGAUUAAUUCGAUGCAACGCGAAGAACCUUACACCCUUGACAUGUCCGGAACUUGCCAGAGAUGGCUUGGUGCCCGAAAGGGAAUCGGAACACAGGUGCUGCAUGGCUGUCGUCAGCUCGUGUCGUGAGAUGUUGGGUUAAGUCCCGCAACGAGCGCAACCCUUAUCAUUAGUUGCUACGCAAGGGCACUCUAAUGAGACUGCCGGUGACAAACCGGAGGAAGGUGGGGAUGACGUCAAGUCCUCAUGGCCCUUAUGGUAGGGCUUCACACGUCAUACAAUGGUCGGUACAGAGGGUUGCCAAGCCGCGAGGUGGAGCCAAUCCCAGAAAGCCGAUCGUAGUCCGGAUUGUUCUCUGCAACUCGAGAGCAUGAAGUCGGAAUCGCUAGUAAUCGCGGAUCAGCAUGUCGCGGUGAAUACGUUCCCGGGUCUU
rnacentral:rRNA from 1 species